rnacentral:rRNA from 1 species
AUUGAACGCUGGCGGCAGGCCUAACACAUGCAAGUCGAGCGAGCGGCGGACGGGUGAGUAAUGUCUGGGAAACUGCCUGAUGGAGGGGGAUAACUACUGGAAACGGUAGCUAAUACCGCAUACCAUCAGAUGUGCCCAGAGGGGAUGAGCUAGUAGGUGGGGUAACGGCUCACCUAGGAGACGAGCCCUAGCUGUUCUGAGAGGAUGCCCAGCCACACUGGAACGGAGACACGGUCCAGACUCUUACGGGAGGCAGCAGUGGGGAAUAUUGCACAAUGGGCGCAAGCCUGAUGCAGCCAUGCCGCGUGUGUGAAGAAGGCCUUCGGGUUGUAAAGCACUUUCAGCGGGGAGGCGUUACCCGCAGAAGAAGCACCGGCUAACUCCGUGCCAGCAGCCGCGGUAAUAC